rnacentral:rRNA from 1 species
AUUGAACGCUGGCGGCAGGCCUAACACAUGCAAGUCGAACGAGUGGCGGACGGGUGAGUAAUGUCUGGGAAACUGCCCGAUGGAGGGGGAGAACUACUGGAAACGGUAGCUAAUACAGCAUACCAUCGGAUGUGCCCAGAUGGGAGUAGCUAGUAGGUGGGGUAACGGCUCACCUAGGCUACGAUCCCUAGCUGGUCUGAGAGGUGGACCGGCCAAACUGGAACUGAGACACGGUCCAGACGCCUACGGGAGGCAGCAGUUGGGAAUAUUGCACAAUGGGCGCAAGCCUGAUGCAGCCAUGCCGCGUGUAUGAAGAAGGCCUUCGGGUUGUAAAGUACUUUCAGCGAGGAGGCGUUACUCGCAGAAGAAGCACCGGCUAACUCCGUGCCAGCCGCCGCGGUAAUUC